GAUGAACGCUGGCGGUGUGCCUAAUACAUGCAAGUCGAGCGAACAGACGAGGAGCUUAUUCCUCUGACGUUAGCGGCGGACGGGUGAGUAACACGUGGAUCACCUACUUCUUUUUCUGGGAUAACUACGGGAAACCGGAGCUAAUACCAGAUAACAUGAUGAACCGCAUGGUUCAACAGUGAAAGACGGUCUUGCUGUCUCUUAUAGAUGGAUCCGCGUCGCAUUAUCUAGUUGGUAAGGUAACGGCUUACCAAGGCAACGAUGCGUAGCCGACCUGAGAGGGUGAUCGGCCACACGGGAACUGAGACACGGUCCAGACUCCUACGGGAGGCAGCAGUAGGGAAUCGGCCGCAAUGGGCGAAAGCCUGACGGAGCAACGCCGCGUGAGUGAAGAAGGUCUUCGGAUCGUAAAACUCUGUUAUUAGGGAAGAACAAAUGUGGAAGUAACUAUGCACGUCUUGACGGUACCUAAUCAGAAAGCCACGGCUAACUACGUG
rnacentral:rRNA from 1 species